GUUCCCGACCCAUGCGUUGAUUCACAGAUGAUGGCAUGGGGUGCGACCCCAGGAUGGGCGAGG
rnacentral:rRNA from 1 species